CAUUCUAACUAGGUUUUAUUUCUAAUUGAGAGAAGAUUCAGAGAAGAUAUACAAAAUCCUCCCGAACGCCAAACCUUCUCCUACCUUCAGUCGCCGUCAAACGCAGAUAAUAGAUAUUACAGAGAAUGACCUACAGUCGCAGAUCUGUUCUCCAAAGAUUCCAUGGUUCGUCUCGUGACCGAUCCAAACGCAGAUCUGUUCAUCGUUUAGCCAAAUUUGGGUUUUGCCCUAAUUCAACACUCUGGUUCCUCCAUGGCUUAAUUACUUCUCACCUUUUCCAUCUCAAGAUUCAGAGAAGAUAUACAAAAUCCUCCCGAACGCCAAACCUUCUCCUACCUUCAGUCGCCGUCAAACGCAGAUAAUAGAUAUUACAGAGAAUGAUCUACAGUCGCAGAUCUGUUCUCCAAAGAUUCCAUGGUUCGUCUCGUGACCGAUCCAAACGCAGAUCUGUUCAUCGUUUAGCCAAAUUUGGAUUUUGCCCUAAUUCAACACUCUGGUUCCUCCAUGGCUUAAUUACUUCUCACCUUUUCCAUCUCAAGGUUUUAUUUCUGAUUGAGAGAAGAUUCAGAGAAGAUAUACAAAAUCCUCCCGAACGCCAAACCUUCUCCUACCUUCAGUCGCCGUCAAACGCAGAUAAUAGAUAUUACAGAGAAUGAUCUACAGUCGCAGAUCUGUUCUCCAAAGAUUCCAUGGUUCGUCUCGUGACCGAUCCAAACGCAGAUCUGUUCAUCGUUUAGCCAAAUUUGGGUUUUGCCCUAAUUCAACACUCUGGUUCCUCCGUGGCUUAAUUACUUCUCACCUUUUCCAUCUCAAGGUUACUUAGUGAAAGCUGUAAGAAUGGAGUUAGGUGCCGCGAGCUCGAACGCAAACGAAGAACCAAAGUUCCUUUGGAACUUGUGGGCAAUUCCCAAAGCCAACUACUUGGCAUGGAGAGCUUUUUCGGGUAGCAUACCAUCUAAAUCAUGCCGUCCUGGAUCUGAAUUGCGCGACUUUGUGGCAUUGGUGAAGAGUCUCCAACACAUAUAUUUGUUAAUUGCUCGAUUGCCAGAAGCAUUUGGUGGAACAUAUUUGCUUGGGUGAGGGUUCCUAUUCCUUCCCAUUGCAAUAAUAUGGAGCACAUGGUGGAUGCAUUCGCUGCUAGCCCUGGAGCAAAAAAACCGGAUAAAAAUAGUUCAUACUAUAGCGUUGGCUACAAUUUGGCGCAUAUCUAGCAAGGAACUUGAAGAUUUUUGAAGGAAAAGUAACAUUCGUCUCAAGAAUAGUGGAGCUAAUCAAGGAACACAUUUUUAUUUAACCGGAUAAAAAUAGUUCAUACUAUAGCGUUGGCUACAAUUUGGCGCAUAUCUAGCAAGGAACUUGAAGAUUUUUGAAGGAAAAGUAACAUUCGUCUCAAGAAUAGUGGAGCUAAUCAAGGAACACAUUUUUAUUUGGGUGUCGAAAUGGGCUAAGGUUCCCACUAUGUCAUGGGAAAAGUGAGUUUGUCUUUGAUGUAGUCGAAUUAUUGUAAUCAGAUCUUCGGGUUUGUGCGUUUUUCUGUUUUUUUUUCUAUUGUACUUUCCCAGUUCCUUGUCCAAAAAAUAAAGGACUAGAAAAUAGUUUUCACAGCUUCACCUUAUAUUUGUUAUUCUUGCAAUAAAUCAGUAUUCUUUCAUCA